ACUGGAGAUGUUGCAAGCACCAUGAAAGGAGGUCAACCUCUGAGAUAGUGGAAAUGAAAUGUUCGAUCUUGUUCAUGUGUCAAAAGAACAAAAGAUACCAUCAUGCAAGAAGAAAAGGAUAAUGAAGAAAUUGGAUAUGCUGCAAGCAACUUGAAAAAUGAAGAAGAAAUGGCUAAGAAGAUCAAUACUCCUUGGGAAAAUGCAGUAAGCAUGGAGGAUGAAGACGUUGCGGAAGAAGUGAAGAGUCGGGACCAUGCUUAGACUCAAGAUCAAGGCUUGACAUAUAUCUGCCAUAUGCCUCCUUCAAAUAAGAUCUACGUCGUCUAAUUAUCACACAAUAUAACUAAUGUGUUUGCGUUUUGCAAUAAAGUAUGCACAGCGGCGUGCCGCUUUUUACAUUGUUUUAUUGUCAAAGACAAUUGUUCAAGUGAGAGUAUGAAUUAUGUUAUUGUUUGGAUAA